rnacentral:rRNA from 1 species
CCUACGGGCGGCAGCAGUGAGGAAUAUUGGUCAAUGGCCGGAAGGCUGAACCAGCCAUGCCGCGUGAAGGUCAGUGCCCUAUGGGCGUUAAACUUCUUUUGUGCGGGAGCAAUAAUGGUCACGUGUGGCCAGACGAGAGUACCGUACGAAUAAGCAUCGGCUAACUACGUGCCAGCAGCCGCGGUAAUACGGGGGAUGCAAGCAUUAUCCGGAUUUAUUGGGGUUAAAGGGUGCGUAGGCUGUGAGGUAAGUCAGCGGUGAAAUGCCCCCGCUCAACGGGGUGAAGUGCCAUUGAUACUGCCUUGCUGGAAUGCGGAUGCCGUGGGAGGAAUGUGUGGUGUAGCGGUGAAAUGCAUAGAUAUCACACAGAACACCGAUUGCGAAGGCAUCUCACGAAUCCGCGAUUGACGCUGAUGCACGAAAGCGUGGGUAUCAAACAGGAUUAGAUACCCUUGUAGUC